rnacentral:rRNA from 1 species
UAGGGAAUCUUCGGCAAUGGACGAAAGUCUGACCGAGCAACGCCGCGUGAGUGAAGAAGGUUUUCGGAUCGUAAAACUCUGUUGUUAGAGAAGAACAAGGACGUUAGUAACUGAACGUCCCCUGACGGUAUCUAACCAGAAAGCCACGGCUAACUACGUGCCAGCAGCCGCGGUAAUACGUAGGUGGCAAGCGUUGUCCGGAUUUAUUGGGCGUAAAGCGAGCGCAGGCGGUUUCUUAAGUCUGAGGUGAAAGCCCCCGGCUCAACCGGGGAGGGUCAUUGGAAACAGGGAGACUCGAGUGCAGAAGAGGAGGGUGGAAUUCCAUGUGGAGCGGUGAAAUGCGUAGAUCUAUGGAGGAACACCAGUGGCGAAGGCGGCUAUCUGGUCUGUAACUGACGCUGAGGCUCGAAGGCGUGGGGAGCAAACAGG